UCCAUCCAUCCAUCCAUCCAUCCAAAUCUCCUCUCCUCUCCUCUCCUCUCCUCUCCUCUCCUCUCCUCUCCUCUCCUCUCCUCUCCUCUCCUCUCCUCUCCUCUCCUCUCCUCUCCUCUCCUCUCCUCCAGAAUGUGCACCUGAUUUAAGUGACCCCACGUCCGUUGCCACGUACACAGCUGAAGAAAUAGGACUAGCAAAAGAUGGAGUCGUUCGAUAUUUUUCAGAUGAGGAUGGUACGAAAAAUCACACACACCCAACAAGUUUUUGACCAAGAAUUUGUCAACAUUUAAGUACAAAUCUGUUAUAAUUCUGACUGUCUGAUGUUUUCCUACAUCUGCAGGCAAUUUCUACCUUAGUUACAUUGACCCUGUGGUCAUUGGAAGACAAGCUUUCCACACUGCUGAUGACUUCAUGAAAGACGUAGGGGGCACCGUCAGGGACACCACAUGUGCUAUGAUAGAUAGUGUAGUUGAUGCUAUAAAGGAUAUAAAUACAGGAGAAACGGAUCUUAGCUACAUAGACCCUGUAGUCAUAGGCAGAAAUGUCUUCAGCGUCACUAAUGAGUUCAUGUGUGGAGUUGGAGGCUCCAUCCAGCAUGUGCUCUGUGCCAUCAUAGACACUAUUUUAGAUGUAGGAAAAGGAAUUUACCAAGGAACCACGGAUGUCAGCUUCGUUGAUCCGGUGGUAAUUGGCAGAAAAACUUUUCAUAUCAGUAAUGACGCUGUAGGAGGAAUAGCGGGUCACAUCCAGGACGUGCUCUGUGCCAUCAUAGACACUAUACUGGACAUUGUUAAAGGAACCACUGACAUUAGUUUCAUUGACCCUGUGGUUAUUGGCAGAAAUGUCUUCAAUGUUACUAAUGACUUUGUGAGUGGAAUAACAGGAUACAUUCAGAGUGUACUUUGUGCAAUCUUGGAUAUAGUCCUGGACAUAGUGAAAGGAACCACUGACGUUAGUUUCAUUGACCCCGUGGUUAUUGGCAGAAAUGUCUUCAAUGUUAUUAAUGACUUUGUGAGUGGAAUAGCAGGAUACAUUCAGGAUGUACUUUGUGCAAUCUUGGAUGUAUUCCUAAACACUGUAAAAGAUAUCAUGGACGCUGUGGGAUUCAGCCCCAUGUCAAUUCUGAAGACAACAGCAGAAAUCACCACAGAACAGAUAAACAUGCUGACAGGCUACCUCUCCACAACACUGAUGGGCGAACAAGGUAUCAUGCCUGAGGUGUCAGUUGAUCCCAUGAAAGUGGUCGAAGACGCUGUGUUGGAGUUCAGCGACAAGAAAGAUUUGUUCGUGGCUUACAUGUCGAGCAUGGUUGUUGGUGAUCAAGGUGAACCUGUUACUACACCAGAUGUCAGUGUAGUAACUGAAAAAGAUGACUCUGCAGCGCCAUCAUCUGAUAUAAAUCUGGUGCAAAGGAAAGGUGAAUUCCUUCCACCUAUUGAAAAAG
rnacentral:lncRNA from 1 species